CGAGAACUUGGUUUCAGAGAAAACCACUUGGCAUUUGUUGCACGGUCAAGGUUAUCAGGACAAAAGUUCAUCUGAAAGACUUUGUUUGAUGUGGAGUCACAUUUGUCCAUGGUUCUGAAGGGAUGUAGAAGACCUG
rnacentral:lncRNA from 14 species